rnacentral:rRNA from 1 species
UAGGGAAUCUUCGGCAAUGGACGGAAGUCUGACCGAGCAACGCCGCGUGAGUGAAGAAGGUUUUCGGAUCGUAAAGCUCUGUUGUAAGAGAAGAACGAGUGUGAGAGUGGAAAGUUCACACUGUGACGGUAUCUUACCAGAAAGGGACGGCUAACUACGUGCCAGCAGCCGCGGUAAUACGUAGGUCCCGAGCGUUGUCCGGAUUUAUUGGGCGUAAAGCGAGCGCAGGCGGUUAGAUAAGUCUAAAGUUAAAGGCUGUGGCUUAACCAUAGUACGCUUUGGAAACUGUUUAACUUGAGUGCAAGAGGGGAGAGUGGAAUUCCAUGUGUAGCGGUGAAAUGCGUAGAUAUAUGGAGGAACACCGGUGGCGAAAGCGGCUCUCUGGCUUGUAACUGACGCUGAGGCUCGAAAGCGUGGGGAGCAAACAGGAUUAGAUACCCUGGUAGUCCACGCCGUAAACGAUGAGUGCUAGGUGUUAGGUCCUUUCCGGGACUCAGUGCCGCAGCUAACGCAUUAAGCACUCCGCCUGGGGAGUACGACCGCAAGGUUG